GACGAACGCUGGCGGCGUGCUUAACACAUGCAAGUCGAACGGAAAGGCCCUGCUUUUGUGGGGUGCUCGAGUGGCGAACGGGUGAGUAACACGUGAGUAACCUGCCCUUGACUUUGGGAUAACUUCAGGAAACUGGGGCUAAUACCGGAUAGGAGCUCCUGCUGCAUGGUGUGGGUUGGAAAGUUUCGGCGGUUGGGGAUGGACUCGCGGCUUAUCAGCUUGUUGGUGGGGUAGUGGCUUACCAAGGCUUUGACGGGUAGCCGGCCUGAGAGGGUGACCGGCCACAUUGGGACUGAGAUACGGCCCAGACUCAUACGGGAGGCAGCAGUGGGGAAUAUUGCACAAUGGGCGGAAGCCUGAUGCAGCAACGCCGCGUGCGGGAUGACGGCCUUCGGGUUGUAAACCGCUUUCGCCUGUGACGAAGCGUGAGUGACGGUAAUGGGUAAAGAAGCACCGGCUAACUACGUG
rnacentral:rRNA from 1 species